CAGCAGGCCCAGUUGGUGUUCUGCCAUGCAGCUAACUUGGUGUGCAGAGUGAAUUGCCGCCGACGGAGCGGCCAGGAGAGUGGGGAUUUCUGUCAGCGCCAGUACCCCGGAGCUCGGAGACAUGAAUGGCUUCUCGCCUGAUGCGGUGAGCCGCAGUGGGGAGGCGGCAGC
rnacentral:sRNA from 1 species